rnacentral:rRNA from 1 species
UACGUAGGGGGCUAGCGUUGUCCGGAUUUAUUGGGCGUAAAGAGCGUGUAGGCGGCCAUACAGGUCAGCUGUGAAAACUCGAGGCUCAACCUCGAGACGUCGGUUGAAACCGUAUGGCUAGAGUCCGGAAGAGGAGAGUGGAAUUCCCGGUGUAGCGGUGAAAUGCGCAGAUAUCGGGAAGAACACCCGUGGCGAAGGCGGCUCUCUGGGACGGUACUGACGCUGAGACGCGAAAGCGUGGGGAGC